rfam:Astyanax mexicanus chromosome 2, whole genome shotgun sequence.
GGUGUCGGUCAGCUUUGCGGGGUGGGCAGUCAGCCUUCAUCAGAACCGCUGUGCAAACCCAUGCAAAACUGACCGCACCC